UUCUUUUUUCCCUUGCAGGUCCCUUUGUGUGACUAAAUUUGGCAAGAAUAUGGAUCCCAGCCAGUCUUUCCACGUGUGCUCCCAGCUCCCAGCUGAGAAGGCCAAGGGUUCUCUUCCGGAUACAGUCUGGCAGUCUUGGCCAGAGAAGGAAUACGAUUAAACCACUGAGAGCUGGAUCUUGUCUCUGGGGGCAAUGAAGAUGCCCUAAAAACACUCAAGAGAAAGCUGGGCUGGAUCUGGUUUUUUUGUUUUUUUGUUUCUUUGUUUGUUUGUUUGUUUUUGAAAGAAACCCUGAAGGAGACGUAGGAUUACAUUCUUCUGUCCUAUAAAACUGCCAAACUUGGGGGCUGGAGAGAUGACUCAGCGAUUAAGAACACUGUUCUUACAGAAGACCCGGGUUCAAAUCCCAGCACCCACACGGCAGCUAAGAACUAUCC